rnacentral:rRNA from 1 species
UACAGAGGGGGCAAGCGUUGUUCGGAAUUACUGGGCGUCAAGGGCGCGUAGGCGGCCUUCUAAGUCAGACGUGAAAUCCCUCGGCUCAACCGGGGAACUGCGUCUGAGACUGGAAGGCUUGAAUCCGGGAGAGGGAUGUGGAAUUCCAGGUGUAGCGGUGAAAUGCGUAGAUAUCUGGAGGAACACCGGUGGCGAAGGCGGCAUCCUGGACCGGUAUUGACGCUGAGGCGCGAAAGCCAGGGGAGCAAACGGG